rnacentral:rRNA from 1 species
GAUGAACGCUGGCGGCGUGCCUAAUACAUGCAAGUCGAGCGAACAGAUGAGGAGCUUGCUCCUCUGACGUUAGCGGCGGACGGGUGAGUAACACGUGGAUAACCUACCUAUAAGACUGGGAUAACUUCGGGAAACCGGAGCUAAUACUGGAUAAUAUAUUGAACCGCAUGGUUCAAUAGUGAAUGACGGUUUUGCUGUCUCUUAUAGAUGGAUCCGCGCCGCAUUAGCUAGUUGGUAAGGUAACGGCUUACCAAGGCAACGAUGCGUAGCCGACCUGAGAGGGUGAUCGGCCACACUGGAACUGAGACACGGUCCAGACUCCUACGGGAGGCAGCAGUAGGGAAUCUUCCGCAAUGGGCGAAAGCCUGACGGAGCAACGCCGCGUGAGUGAUGAAGGUCUUCGGGUCGUAAAACUCUGUUAUUAGGGAAGAACAAAUGUGUAAGUAACUAUGCACGUCUUGACGGUACCUAAUCAGAAAGCCACGGCUAACUUCGUG